GGGGGGGGGGGGGGGGGGGGGGGGGGGGGGGGGGGGGGGGGGGGGGGGGGGGGGGGGGGGGGGGGGGGGGGGGCUUUACCUGCACCUUUUCAGUGCAUCCAAACACACUUGUAACACACAAACCCACAUUUCCUGACAAAACUACAAUACAAAGCACAGUCAAAGGAACAUCAUUCGGUAGUGCUGUGGAACAUCCAGCGCCCGACGAAGCAGCAAGGAUCACAUAUGGGUGGGGUUACCAGAGGACGGUGUCGCUGAGCUGAAAGCUCGACCAGUGAGCGUGGCCUGACAAAUGGCCGUGCUCCAAUGUGAAGGCAGCGCCAUGAGCAAGCUGCGCUGGGAUGCUGACUAUGCCUCGGCCAAGGGCUUUAUAAGUCUGAGAAGCCAAGAACUCGGUGUCUUGUUUGACCAGAGAACCACAAUGUGUCCUCCAGGAAUGACCCAAGUGACUGCGAACUGCUACACAGACAGCUCUGUUGAGAUCGAGCAAGCUAGCCACAGACCACAAUACACCACAACCUGUGAAAUGCCAUUCACGCAUCGUGUACUCGGAGUGAGGAACUCUCCCAUGAAACUCACUCGAUGCUGUAAAGUCUCUGUCUCAGAUUGCAAGGCCACAUGGAUUGCAAGAUUUGCUCAAGCUCUGUCAAGUUGGAUGGGGAGCUUCAGUGAACAGCAAUCGUCAAGUCUUUCCACAGAUUCUCAAUGGGAUUCAAGUCUGGGCUUUGGCUGGGCCACUCAAGGCAUUUCACGUUCUUGUUUUGAAGCCAUUCCAGUGUUGCUUUGGCUGUGUGCCUGGAGUCAUUGUCCUGUUGGAACAUAAAUCUUCACCGCAGUGUAAGGUGUUUUGUACUCUGAAGAAGGUUCGCCUCAAGGAUUUGCCUGUAUUUGGCUCCAUUCAUUGUUCCCUCUAUCCUUAACAAGUCUCCCAGUUCCCGCCACUGAAAAGCAUCCACAUAGCAUGAUGCUACCACCACCAUGUUUCAUGGUAGGGAUGGUUUUAGAUGGGUGAUGAGCUAUGCUGUUUCAGCCAGAGCUGUGCUCUUUGCAUUCUAAUAAUAGGGAGUACUCGGUAAAGUGCAUACCUCUGCCAGGCUGAUUAGUUUACGUUUUGUAUCCCACUGAUAGGCCGGAUCUGGAUUCAGACCCAAUCUAAAAUCUAAUCGGCUUGUUCUUGUCACCGAACCAACUCAUCCACCAAGUUUUGGCCUAAUCCGUCCAUAACUUUUUGAGAUAUCAUGCUAUAUAUUGUUUUAGCCCAAUCACUCAAUGGUGAAAAAACAUCAAAAAAAAUUCGGAUCUGGAUCUUCAAAACCUAAUAAUUUCGUCUGUGUUACAUACCCAAGCUCUCCACCAAAUUACUUCCAAAUCUGUCCACAACUUUUUUAGAUAUCCUGUUCCUCGACAAACAGACAGACAGACAGGGGUGAAAACAUCACCUCCAUCUACCUUCAAUGGCAGAGAUAAUCAUAAUAAUUAAUGACAAUAAUAAUGUGCAACCAGACUGGAAAGGGGAAAAACAAGUACUGCAGGUACAUUCAAAGUACACCGCCCCCAUGCAAAAUAAGUAAAUAACAAAUCCUCUAGCGCACGAUAUUGCCGAGGCACCUUUGGUGCCCGGCAAUGCCGCCAUGCAGCACAUGGAGACAGAAUUUGGAGGGAGCAGUGCACUUCUGAGGUGAAUGUGUACAAAUGAUACUUACUCACUGUCAAUUAUAAGCCAGAUGUGGUAUUUGUAAGCAUUUGUAAAAGAAGGAUUAAAAUUGACGGCUUCAUGUUAUAAGUUUCGUUUUGCACGGAUCAGGAAAUUGUAAUAUAAACUGCUUGAUGUAAUGAGCUAAUUUUGACUGUAGAUGGAAGAAUUGUACUGUAAACUGCUUGGUGAGAUUUGUGAAGGUGCUGGAACGUUCUCAGAUGAAAUUUCCAGUAUACUCUAGAAUUGCAUUUGCUAGAAGGCACGAGAUUGUUCUGUGAUGCUAUAUAAACCCGCGAGAGGGAGGUGUAGAGAGAGAGGUGACAUGUGAGGAGCCGUGUGUAUCCAUCGUCCCCGUGCUCGAUUUAACUCUGAGUGAACGAGGUGUGAAUGUUCAGAGCAGUUUUUAACACGUGGAGCCAAUUAUAAUCAGGUUGCUUGAAACUCAUGAAGAUUGUGUGUCGGGAAAGAAUUUAUUUGACCUCUUUAAUCAUCUGGAACGGUCCAGCAUACAAGAGAGAACAAUGUGGUGGGAAUUGAUCGUACAACAGCCACAAAGGACGAGGUGAGCAUGCAUGAGUUGUGCCAGCAGGACUGGGACACUGCGCAGUGGAAAUAACUCAACGUGGAAAUCGGAGUUGGACAUUGUAUGUAAUGAUGAACCUCCUCAUUUGACUUUAUAUCUGAUUAUUUGAAAUACAAGUUUCAAAAACGUUACGCUGUUCAUGUGGUCACUGCAAUGUCACUCAGAAGUCACAGACACCAACUGACAAAGAUCCAUUCGAGUGGUUGCUGACCUGUACGUUCGUUCAUAACCUUGGAUUGCAGUCGUUAGAGAACGCGCUGGGUUUGGCACCACGAACAACAUACAUACACCAAAGGAAAGGAAACCCCAAUGGCGCGUGUACCACCAACACUCACCGUGCAGCACAUGGAAAUGGAAUUGGGAGGAAG
rnacentral:lncRNA from 1 species